CCUGUGCAUAUAACACACUGCCUAGGGCUGGGUUUUGUCCUUCUAGUACAGAGAGCUGUUAGGUGGUGAUCUGUGGGACUUGGAUGUUGGUAAAAGUUUUGGACCUGGAUAUCGGUGAAGUUUUGGACUCGGAUGCUGGUGACUUCUUGUACUUGACAGAUUGGUCUUGGUACGAGCAUUUAUAUCGACAAAGAUGAGGAAGUGGGAAAUGGCUCAAGGCAACACCCUACAGUACAACUCCUUUGACGAAGAGGCUUUAACAGAGCACUAUCAAAUCCUAAAGACCCUUGGUCGGGGAGCAUUUGGAGAAGUAAAAUUGGCUAGCCAUCUACUCACCCAGACAAAGGUAGCAGUAAAAGUUCUCCCAAAAAGCUCAAAGAACAUCUUCAUCAAAUCAGAAAUUGAAAUAAUGAAAUCUCUAGACCAUCCCAAUAUCAUUAAACUUCUUCACAUAAUCGACACCACAAAAAACACUUACCUGGUUAUGGAACAUGCCAUAGGCGGAGAGCUGAUGGCCAGGAUUGUGGAGUUUGGCUACCUACCUGAGGACGAGUCCCGUAAGGUAUUUAAACAAAUGGUGUGUGCCCUUCAGUAUUGUCACAGGAAAGGGAUUGCUCACAGGGAUCUAAAGCCUGAAAAUAUUUUAGUGGACGGCAAAGGAAAUAUAAAACUCAGUGAUUUUGGGCUGGGCACCAAGCUUCCCAUGGGGCAGAAGCUAGCAUAUUUCUGUGGGACCCUUCCUUAUUGCGCCCCAGAACUCUUUGAAGGUGGAGGCUACGAUGGCCGAGCAAUCGACAUCUGGAGUUUGGGAGUUGUACUCUACUUUAUGUCUACAGGGUGCCUCCCUUUCAAGGGAACUACCUUUGGAAUGCUAAAGGACAAAAUCUUGGCAGGAAAGUACCCCGUUAAUUUCAAGCUGUCGCCAGAGCUUUGGGAUGUUAUUGCUAAGUUGUUAACCGUAAAUCCUGGAGAAAGACCAAGAAUAGGUGACGUUGUGGGCUUUCAAUGGCUGAAGCAUGGCAAUGAAGGUUCUCCCAAUCCCUUUAGAGAGAACAAUGAGGACAGCUACCCAGACCCCACUGUGAUGGUCAUCAUGGGCGUCAUGGGUUAUAAGCAAGGAGAGAUAAUGGAAGCUUUACGGGAGAAGAAGUAUGAUCAAGUGAUGGCCACCUACUUGAUUCUUAGGCAGCAGUCACCCUGGGAAGAUGACAUUAUAAAACAUCUUCGGCCCAAGCAGUCUGCUGGAACCUUGAACCUUACAGGCCUUCCCACAAUACCUAAAGUGACUAUAAAGAGGGGAUCUAGUGUCCCUAUCCUUCCCACUUCUUCCAUUUUGCCCACUCUACCUGAGAGUCCCGAGAAUGACAAAAAGGGGAAAACGAGGUACAGUAUGCCUCCCACCGUGAACUGCCCUGACAAGAAAACAGCCCCAGUUCACAGAAUCUGCCCCCAGCGUGUACAUGAGGCUACUUUCAUGAACAGCGCCUGGGGGGAUUCAGAGAGCACUAUUAACACCUCCGAUGAAAUAUGUACCACAGUGUCUUCAGCACUGGAAACUUAUUCCAGCAAGUUAUCCUGGAAUGUGUCCAAAGCUGGCCCUAACAAAUCAAAGAGCAAGGCGUCCUCACAGGAUGUUUUAUCUCAUCACACCCCAAUGGAGGAAGUUCAGUGCCAAGACGUCAACACACCAGGUGAAAUUAUUGGCUCAUCUCUCCCACAAACCUCACCUCAGGAGGACCUCAGAGGACAGCCCCACAGAGUGGCUACAGCUAGUCGGAGAGGUGAAAGGACCAGGUCAUCUCUCCUACAACCAGCACCUCAGGAGGACCUCAGAGGACAGCCCCACAGUGUGGCUACAGCUGUUUCAAAGAACAACAUGACCUCACAGGAUAGAUCACCCCCAUUCUCCAGCAAGGAGGCCCAGGAUGAGGGUCUCAUCGUACAAGAAAAAGACCUCAGCCCAUCCUCCCCAGAAACAUCCCAGGGACACCUCAGUGGCCGGUGCCAGACUGCACCCAGAGCCCCCUUUAGAAAGCGGAUUUGGAAGAGCCUACGGAGAAGGAUUAUAAAAGGCCUGAGAAGUUUAUGCUGCUGCAUACCAACAGAAAAGAGGGAGCGUCUAGGCUGCAACAAAAUCCUGCCUGUGACCUUAGAGGGCCAUGGAGGGAGCCAAGGUAACAGUGCUGUUGGAGGCACUGUGCUCCCCCUAAGCUGAAACCAGAGAAUGGGGAGCAGCAUGCUGAGGAUGCACACGGGCGCUGGAGAGAGCCAGGUAGGUUCAUGAUGGCUGGUGGUGCCACAAUUGUGCCAGUAAAGUGAAGCACUCUGUGGGACCAGAAGUCCUUUAAACAAGGAUCCACGGAGUGCUGUGAUCAUUAGGAAAACAGGCCUCAGAGGACCUUCCAUGCACAGUGUGAUCGUCAUUCCAGCUACCUGUCUCCAGGUGUACCUGUGAGCCAUUAGAAGAGACAUCGGCACCAGAAGCAGAGGAGGACCCCAGAGGGCCUGCCCAGUUUGUAUGUGUUCACGAUGAAUAUUGCUGACCAGGUUGGAGCCAGACACAGAGGGACGAGUUUGCAGGGAGUGUCCAUCUUGUGCUCAUUUGGGAAGGUAGAGUGUGUGAGAACAGGUCUCCUUGAUAAAAGAGGCUUCUUCUGAUUGACAGAGAAGUUGGGCCAGAGACUCACAAGCAGAUGGACUAAAGAGGAACAAGGGAAAAUGUCUACUGAUCCAGGUGAAGAUCAGCCAUGGAGGAUAUGCUCAGAGAGCUGGGCAUAAGAUUGCUCUGCAGAAGUGUUACCAAGAAAGACAGGCACCAGACAAAAAGAUAUACGGCACAAAUAGCUGAAUAAAGAGACUGUUUUCUUGCUACAAUAAAUUCCUUUGUAUAUUUGAACCACA